GCGCUGGGGGGAAUGAGACUUCAGAGAGGUCACUGCACCUGCAAAACCAGCUCUGUUUCGCCUCCGUGUCAACAGAAAGCCAGUGAAAGCAGCUAAUGGCCUCUUUGCAUAAGCAGAAAAGGUGGAAAUUCUGGUUCUUUUGUCAAGUGAUCUCCAUGAAUCCAAAUUUAAAAAAGAGAAAAGCCAAAGGACCCCGAUCUAGGGGGUGUUUAGGCCACUGUCAUGCUGAGGGGAGUGCCCCCCAGGAGAAGGCAGGUUCAGACUAUGUCUUGGGAUAAAAAGUUAUCUGUCUUGUACUUCUCAGAUAUUAAGGUAAUUGACCCCCCGGCGAGCUAGUUGGCCUUUGUUAUACAGAUGGGCUGGGGGGAGCCUUUUUAAAAAAAGGUUUACUUUGAGUAAUUUACAACAUCUUUAAAGCCAGAGUCAACAUGAGAAUGAAGGGAGGAGAACCAGGAAAGCAAACCCCCUUUGGAAAGAGAGAGCCUUUUUGUUCUUGUGCUGCUGUAUAUGAUUUUUCUCUUUAAUUGCAGGUCCUGCGGACUUUUAAAUGACCCAGUCACCUUUGCGCAAGGGUAAUGCAUGGAGAAGCAGUGUCACUUAUCCAAGAUGGUGAUGGAAUUUACUAUAUAAAAAAAUCCCCUUUCAAGAGUAAAGUGUAUCAACAUUACAACACAACAGACGGCAGAGGGAUAAGUAAAACAGACAAAAGACAAACAAGAUAAUAAUCUGUUUCCAAUCACCAGCCGUGAAAAAUUGUACUGGUCUACCACUGAGAAAGGGUUUGCUGCAAAGAGCCGGAGUCUAAUCACCAGGGCUCUCUCUCCAACAAAAGUAAUGAAUGUGCUACCGAGACAAAAAGGAGGGGGGCUCAUUUUCCCUGUCCUUUAUCUUUCUCUCCGAGCGGCAGCGGGCUCUCCCGCAGAGUGUCUCGGAGGAAGUUAUGGAAAAUGAAGGUAACCAACUAAGCCCCAAACAGGACUUUGAAAGGCGCAGGGCUGAAUUACUAGCGCGAGGGAGAGACAGACCAAAUCCAAUCAAUGCCGUUUAAAGAAGAAAACCAGAAGGGCGAGGCACCGACCCUCAGCGCGCCAUGGCUUUCCCGGUGUUUUAUCACCGGUGUAAAAAUCACCUGCACAUUAAUGCUGGGCUCCUUUUCAAAUAAACAGCUCGCCUGGAUCUUUGAGA